rnacentral:rRNA from 1 species
UACGUAGGGUGCGAGCGUUGUCCGGAAUUAUUGGGCGUAAAGAGCUCGUAGGCGGUUUGUCACGUCUGCUGUGAAAUCCCGAGGCUCAACCUCGGGCCUGCAGUGGGUACGGGCAGACUGGAGUGCGGUAGGGGAGAAUGGAAUUCCUGGUGUAGCGGUGGAAUGCGCAGAUAUCAGGAAGAACACCCGUGGCUAAGGCGGCUCUCUAGUACGGUACUGACGCUGAGACGCGAAAGCGUGGGGAGCGAACAGG